CAGUCGCCACGGGAAUACGGAGGGUGCAAGCGUUAUCCGGAUUUAUUGGGUUUAAAGGGUCCGUAGGCGGACUUAUAAGUCAGUGGUGAAAGCCUGUCGCUUAACGAUAGAACUGCCAUUGAUACUGUAAGUCUUGAGUAUAUUUGAGGUAGCUGGAAUAAGUAGUGUAGCGGUGAAAUGCAUAGAUAUUACUUAGAACACCAAUUGCGAAGGCAGGUUACCAAGAUAUAACUGACGCUGAGGGACGAAAGCGUGGGUAGCGAACAGGAUUAGAUACCCCGGUAGUCCCUGUCUCUUAUAC
rnacentral:rRNA from 1 species